rnacentral:rRNA from 1 species
CGGUAACAGGAAGCAGCUUGCUGCUUUGCUGACGAGUGGCGGACGGGUGAGUAAUGUCUGGGAAACUGCCUGAUGGAGGGGGAUAACUACUGGAAACGGUGGCUAAUACCGCAUAACGUCGCAAGACCAAAGAGGGGGACCUUCGGGCCUCUUGCCAUCAGAUGUGCCCAGAUGGGAUUAGCUUGUUGGUGAGGUAACGGCUCACCAAGGCGACGAUCCCUAGCUGGUCUGAGAGGAUGACCAGCCACACUGGAACUGAGACACGGUCCAGACUCCUACGGGAGGCAGCAGUGGGGAAUAUUGCACAAUGGGCGCAAGCCUGAUGCAGCCAUGCCGCGUGUAUGAAGAAGGCCUUCGGGUUGUAAAGUACUUUCAGCGGGGAGGAAGGUGUUGUGGUUAAUAACCGCAGCAAUUGACGUUACCCGCAGAAGAAGCACCGGCUAACUCCGUGCCAGCAGCCGCGGUAAUACGGAGGGUGCAAGCGUUAAUCGGAAUUACUGGGCGUAAAGCGCACGCAGGCGGUCUGUCAAGUCGGAUGUGAAAUCCCCGGGCUCAACCUGGGAACUGCAUUCGAAACUGGCAGGCUUGAGUCUUGUAGAGGGGGGUAGAAUUCCAGGUGUAGCGGUGAAAUGCGUAGAGAUCUGGAGGAAUACCGGUGGCGAAGGCGGCCCCCUGGACAAAGACUGACGCUCAGGUGCGAAAGCGUGGGGAGCAAACAGGAUUAGAUACCCUGGUAGUCCACGCCGUAAACGAUGUCUACUUGGAGGUUGUGCCCUUGAGGCGUGGCUUCCGGAGCUAACGCGUUAAGUAGACCGCCUGGGGAGUACGGCCGCAAGGUUAAAACUCAAAUGAAUUGACGGGGGCCCGCACAAGCGGUGGAGCAUGUGGUUUAAUUCGAUGCAACGCGAAGAACCUUACCUGGUCUUGACAUCCACAGAACUUUCCAGAGAUGGAUUGGUGCCUUCGGGAACUGUGAGACAGGUGCUGCAUGGCUGUCGUCAGCUCGUGUUGUGAAAUGUUGGGUUAAGUCCCGCAACGAGCGCAACCCUUAUCCUUUGUUGCCAGCGGUUAGGCCGGGAACUCAAAGGAGACUGCCAGUGAUAAACUGGAGGAAGGUGGGGAUGACGUCAAGUCAUCAUGGCCCUUACGACCAGGGCUACACACGUGCUACAAUGGCGCAUACAAAGAGAAGCGACCUCGCGAGAGCAAGCGGACCUCAUAAAGUGCGUCGUAGUCCGGAUUGGAGUCUGCAACUCGACUCCAUGAAGUCGGAAUCGCUAGUAAUCGUGGAUCAGAAUGCCACGGUGAAUACGUUCCCGGGCCUUGUACACACCGCCCGUCACACCAUGGGAGUGGGUUGCAAAAGAAGUAGGUAGCUUAACCUUCGGGAGGGCGCUUACCACUUUGUGAUUCAUGACUGGGGUGAAGUCGUAACAAGGUAACCGUAGGGGAACCUGCGGUUGGA